CAGAGCUGCUUUUGCGCGGGGUUACAUCUUCAAUAUAGAAGCAAGUAGACCUUAAACUGGAAGGCGGUGUCUUUGAAAGAAGACGCGGACUUCGUGAGAGGUUGACAGCUGCUACGGAAGAAAGUGACUUCGAAAAGAGCUGAAGUCUUCUAAGGAAGAUGAUAAGCUGUGCAAGAGAAGCAGUUGUGUGUUGGGAUCUAUUCUAGCGGCGGACGGGUGAGUAACGCGUGAACAAUCUGUCUCAGACAGGGGGAUAACACCUGGAAACAGGUGCUAAUACCGCAUAAGACCACGACGCCACAUGGCGAUGAGGUAAAAGGAGCAAUCCGGUUUGAGGUGAGUUCGCGUCUGAUUAGCUAGUUGGUGGGGUAACGGCCUACCAAGGCGACGAUCAGUAGCCGACCUGAGAGGGUGAUCGGCCACACUGGAACUGAGAACGGUCCAGACUCCUACGGGAGGCAGCAGUGGGGAAUAUUGGGCAAUGGGCGAAAGCCUGACCCAGCAACGCCGCGUGAGGGAAGAAGGUUUUCGGAUUGUAAACCUCUGUCCUCAGGGAAGAAAACAAUGACGGUACCUGAGGAGGAAGCCCCGGCUAACUACGUGCCAGCAGCCGCGGUAAUACGUAGGGGGCGAGCGUUGUCCGGAAUGACUGGGCGUAAAGGGCGCGUA
rnacentral:rRNA from 1 species